AUUUUUGCGAACGCUUUUAAGCGAGUUUGCAAAACGUUUUUCUCGAGACUUAUAUCGAUAUGAUUUGGUUCAAACACUAAAAAUGAAAAUCGAUUUUAGACUAUUAUUUUUUGCUUAAAAAUAAUAUGUUAUUUGUUGAUUGGAGUACUAAUCCGUCUUCAUGUUUUCUCUAGAAACAAAAUGAUGAACGAUAACAACACCCCCAUUGACACCACUGAUGUCACAACAAC
rnacentral:lncRNA from 1 species